rnacentral:rRNA from 1 species
CGCCGCGUGUAUGAAGAAGGUUUUCGGAUCGUAAAGUACUGUUGUUAGAGAAGAACAAGGAUAAGAGUAACUGCUUGUCCCUUGACGGUAUCUAACCAGAAAGCCACGGCUAACUACGUGCCAGCAGCCGCGGUAAUACGUAGGUGGCAAGCGUUGUCCGGAUUUAUUGGGCGUAAAGCGCGCGCAGGCGGUCUUUUAAGUCUGAUGUGAAAGCCCCCGGCUUAACCGGGGAGGGUCAUUGGAAACUGGAAGACUGGAGUGCAGAAGAGGAGA